rnacentral:rRNA from 1 species
GUCUACGGCCAUGCCACCCUGAACAUGCCCGAUCUCGUCUGAUCUCGGAAGCUAAGCAGGGUCAGGCCUGGUUAGUACUUGGAUGGGAGACCACCUAGGAAUACUAGGUGCUGUACGUG